CAUUUCCAACACCAUUUUUAAAUCAUUUUUACGCGUGUAAUCGUAUUUAAAAACGGUUAUAGGUACUUUCGUCAUCUUAUCUUCAUACUAAAAAAAAAAAAAAGACAGUUGUGUGAAAAUAUAUUGCAGGAUCAUAUAUGAUGACAUCUCAUUUUGCGAUUCGGAGGCGUCCAGACAAAUGGAAACUUUUUACUUUCCUUAUCAGGCACUUCAAAAGCAGGACAAUGUUUUCCGGCAAAACUACAGAAUGCUCACCAUGCCUGUGCACGGACCGCUCCAGUCCGAGUAGACGUCCACUACUACGUAAGCAAGAAUAUUGAACGUAUUUCGUUGUACAAUGCUUUAAUUAGAUGACAACAAUUUAUUAAAUAUUUCCGCAACGCUA